GUGGGGAAUAUUGGACAAUGGGGGGAACCCUGAUCCAGCCAUGCCGCGUGUGUGAAGAAGGCCUUUUGGUUGUAAAGCACUUUAAGUGGGGAGGAGGCUUACCUGGUUAAUACCUGGGCUAAGUGGACGUUACCCACAGAAUAAGCACCGGCUAACUCUGUGCCAGCAGCCGCGGUAAUACAGAGGGUGCGAGCGUUAAUCGGAUUUACUGGGCGUAAAGCGCGCGUAGGUGGUUAAUUAAGUCAAAUGUGAAAUCCCCGAGCUUAACUUGGGAAUUGCAUUCGAUACUGGUUAGCUAGAGUAUGGGAGAGGAUGGUAGAAUUCCAGGUGUAGCGGUGAAAUGCGUAGAGAUCUGGAGGAAUACCGAUGGCGAAGGCAGCCAUCUGGCCUAAUACUGACACUGAGGUGCGAAAGCAUGGGGAGCAAACAGGAUUAGAAACCCGUGUAGUCC
rnacentral:rRNA from 1 species